rnacentral:rRNA from 1 species
UACGUAGGUGGCGAGCGUUGUCCGGAUUUACUGGGCGUAAAGGGAGCGUAGGCGGACUUUUAAGUGAGAUGUGAAAUACUCGGGCUCAACUUGAGUGCUGCAUUUCAAACUGGAAGUCUAGAGUGCAGGAGAGGAGAAUGGAAUUCCUAGUGUAGCGGUGAAAUGCGUAGAGAUUAGGAAGAACACCAGUGGCGAAGGCGAUUCUCUAGACUUUAACUGACGCUGAGGCUCGAAAGCGUGGGGAGCAAACAGG